GGGGAUUGAACCCAGGGGCACUUAAUCAUUGAGUCACAUCCCCAGCAUCUUUGUAUAUUUUAUUAGAGAGAGGGUGUCCCAAAGUUUCUUUGGCCUCACCAAGUUGCUGAGGCUGACUUUGAACUCAGGAUCCUACUGUCUCAGCCUAUGGAGCCGCCUGGAGCCACUGGAAGUACAGGAGUGCACCAUUGCUGUCUUUGUUGUUUGGUAGUAGAUAUUGAACACAGGGCCUCAUGCAUGAUAGGCAAGCAUAUUACCACCAAGGGGCAUCCUCAGCCCUUUUGAGACAGGGUUUCCUAAAUGACCCAAAUUGGCUUUGAACUUGGAAUCUUAGUGCUUCAGACUCAGGGGCACUCAACCACUGAACCGCAGCCUCAGCCCUAUUUUGUAUUUUAUUUAGAGACAGGGUUUCUCUGGGUUGCUGAGGCUGGCUUUGAACUUGCGAUUCUCUUGUCUCAGUCUUCCAAGCCGUUGCACCUGGCUUUUUUUUUUUUUUUUUUUUAAAGGGUAUCUUCACAUUAAAGUGGGAAGUGUGCCUCCUUUUAUAAAAGCCAUUGCUGACCAACAGUGCCAUCUGGUGGACAGUGAGAAACUGGUUCCUUUGUGGUCAUUGCCAGAUUGGCUGUGGAAGACAAGGAUCUGGUUUAUAUCUUAAUUAACUUGCAUUGUCUAGAACAGAUACAGAAAUCUGAUUUAAAAGAUAAAAUGUCUUUAAGAACUGGGCCAAAUUAGCACAGGGAUGAGAGUUAUUUCCUGUCGGCUCAUGCUUUUCAUGUUUUGCUGCUUCGGUUUAAUCUCAAGGCUGACCCGUGCCAGGUUCAGUGGCACAGGCCUGAAUCCCAGUGAAUUCAGAGGCUGAGGUAUAGGGUCCCAUUCAAGACCAGCAUCAACAAUUUAGUGAUAUCCUAUCAAAAAAUAACAUGGGGACCUUGGGCAUGGUGGCACAUGCCUGUAAUCCCAGCAAUUACUGGAGGCCAUGGCAGGAGGAUUACAAAUUCAAAGCCAACCUCAGCAAUUUAGUGAAGCUCUGAGCAAAAAUUAAAAAGAUCUGGGGAUGUGGCUCAGUGGUAAAGCCCCACAGUAUCUCCCUCUCCACCUCAAAAAAGGUAAAGAGUCUUAAGUGGAUUAUCCUUCCAUUUUCUAAAAGUGAGAGGGGGCACAGUUAGGCACUGGGUCUGGAGAAUCAGAAAAUAUUUGGAAUAGUGUUGUUCAUUAGGAUUGUUCAGUAAUCAUGAAUUGGAGUGAAGGUCGGGUAAAUUUUUGCAGUUCUUAGCCUGCUUCUCUAACAUAGGUACUAAAUCCGGAAUAAAAUUAAAAAGGUGGGGCAUUACAGGUAUGACAGGAUUAAGGGUGAAGGAACCAAGGAUACAAAUAAAAAUGAGAAUCUUUCUUGGUACUAGUGAUUGAAUCUAGGGCAUCACACAUUAGGCAAGCACUCUACAUUGAGUCACACCCCUGUAGCCCUCUACCUUUCAAACAAACCCCUCCCCAAAGUUUAGUUGACAAUACUGGCUCCUGGGCCACUGAGCACUAUGGAAUAUGUGUUCAAACACUGGAACACACUAGAUUGACUCUGAAAAAUUUAACUAAGUUUGAGAUAUGUGAAUGGAAUACUUCUAACAAAGUCAUCCCUAACUCUGAAUGUGUGAAAGUAACAAAUAUUCUGCAGCUUGUAUAGUACUUAUAAGAUAUGUGACGAUGGCACUGGGUUGAACUGCUACUCCUAUCUCCUGGGAGGUAACAUGAAAAUGAUAGAUCAAGUUAUAUGAUGACCACUAAACAGAUGUGCAAAAUUCCUAACGUUUGAGAUCCUAUGGCUUCAUCGGCUUAGAAAGCUUUGAUUCAAAGAAUCUUCUGUUGUAUAGUCGGGUCAGUUCUAAUGGUUUGGUUUGAACAUGCAAAAUUUGUUCCAAUACUACUAAUAUAUAAGGGGACAACUUUAGCAGAAUGUGAACUGUUUAUUUGGCAAUUUCUCCUGCAAGAAAAACUGAAACGAAUGCACACAACUAUUUCCUAGUUAUGGUGGUAGUACUGAUCUGUACCCAAUUAUAUCUGCUAUUACCUUUCCCUUUGACCUCACAUAACCGCCCUCCUACCAAUUACUUUAUGACUCAAAUCAACCCUUGUGAUGAUUACUCCUUCCAUAAGCAAACUUUAGGUCUUCAAUGUAGAAAGCCUGUAUUUGUAGUAUUUAUAAUUUUUAAACAUUCAAUGUGCAUUGUGACUUAGAUGGGAGUUGUUCCCUGAAAAGCUCAUGUGAGAGGUGAAAUGACUGGGUUUAUGAGCGCUUAAACCUAACUAGUGCAUUAAUCCACUGAUAUGGUUAACUGUGGGCAGGUAGGGUGUGGCUGGAGAGCUGCUUUCCUGUCACAUGUUCUGUCUCAACUGGGGCCCAGAGCAAUGGAGGUGGCCAUCUAUUGACUGAGACCUCUGAAACUCUUGAGCCCCGAAUAAAUUUUUCCUCUAAAAUUGUUCUUGUCAGGUCUUCCUCUUAUAGUGGUGAAAAAAACUAAAAAAAUAUAGGACUAGGAAUGUAGCUCAACAGAAGAGUGCUUCCUUAGUAUGCUUCAGGCCCUGGAUU
rnacentral:lncRNA from 1 species